rnacentral:rRNA from 1 species
GAUGAACGCUGGCGGCGUGCCUAAUACAUGCAAGUCGAGCGAACAGACGAGGAGCUUGCUCCUCUGACGUUAGCGGCGGACGGGUGAGUAACACGUGGAUAACCUACCUAUAAGACUGGGAUAACUUCGGGAAACCGGAGCUACUACCGGAUAAUAUAUUGAACCGCAUGGUUCAAUAGUGAAAGACGGUUUUGCUGUCACUUAUAGAUGGAUCCACGCCGCAUUAGCUAGUUGGUAAGGUAACGGCUUACCAAGGCAACGAUGCGUAGCCGACCUGAGAGGGUGAUCGGCCACACUGGAACUGAGACACGGUCCAGACUCCUACGGGAGGCAGCAGUAGGGAAUCUUCCGCAAUGGGCGAAAGCCUGACGGAGCAACGCCGCGUGAGUGAUGAAGGUCUUCGGAUCGUAAAACUCUGUUAUUAGGGAAGAACAAAUGUGUAAGUAACUAUGCACGUCUUGACGGUACCUAAUCAGAAAGCCACGGCUAACUACGUG